rnacentral:rRNA from 1 species
AGCGCAGGCGGGAGAACAAGUUGGAAGUGAAAUCCAUGGGCUCAACCCAUGAACUGCUUUCAAAACCGUUUUUCUUGAGUAGUGCAGAGGUAGGCGGAAUUCCCGGUGUAGCGGUGGAAUGCGUAGAUAUCGGGAGGAACACCAGUGGCGAAGGCGGCCUACUGGGCACCAACUGACGCUGAGGCUCGAAAGUGUGGGUAGCAAACA